rnacentral:rRNA from 1 species
CGUAGGAAAGAUAAGGGCGUAUGGUGGAUGCCUAGGCUUUAAACAGCGAUGAAGGACGCGAUAUGGCGGCGAAACGCUUCGGGGAGGUGCCUAAUAACCUUCGAUCCGGAGAUAUCCGAAUGGGGGAACCCUAUAGAGUAAACCUCUAUAAUUUUUUGAGUAAUCAAAAUUUGCAUACCCAGGGAAUUGAAACAUCUUAGUACCUGGAGGAAUAGAAACUAAACUAAGUAUUCCGAUAGUAGCGGCGAGCGAAAUCGGAGAAGCCCAAACCAAAUUCAUGCUUGCAUGAAUUCGGGGUUGUAAGACAGAGAUAUCGUUUUUAACGGAAAUAGUUACAAAAGAAGUUUGUAAAUGAAUUUGUUGGGAAACAAAACCAAAGAAGGUGAAAGUCCUGUAAUUGAAACAAAUCUUCUCUAUUUUAUCUCUGUUCUUGAGUACGUCAGGACACGAAUAGCCUGACGGAAUCUGCCGGAACUAACCGGUAAGGCUAAAUAUGUUUAAAGACCGAUAGUGAACUAGUACCGUGAGGGAAAGGUGAAAAGUAGUCCGAAAGGACGGUGAAAUAGACCUGAAACCAUAUGCCUACAAGGAGUCAGAGCGGGUAUUUAUAUCCGUCAUGGCGUGCCUAUUGAAGAAUGAGCCAACGAGUUUUAGCAUACUCUAGUCUAAGGAACUUGCGUUCCGGAGGCAUAGCGAAAGCGAGUGUGAAUAGCGCGAACUUUAAAGAGUAUGCUAAAGACCCGAAACCGGGUGAGCUACCCAUGGACAGGAUGAAUCUUUGAGAAAUCAAAGAGGAGGUCCGAACCCGUAUGUCGUACAAUGCAUUGGGAUGAUCUGUGGGUUGGAGUGAAAAGCUAAUCGAACUCGGUAAUAGCUGGUUCUCUCCGAAAUAGCUUUUGGGUUAGCGUCAAGUGUUCCUUCUGGGGGUAGAGCACUGGAUGGUUUCGACAGGGAGCAAUCUCGCGAAACCUAUCAAACUCCGAAUACCAGAUAGUUAAAGCUUGGCAGUUAGACUGUGGGGGCGAAGCUCCAUUGGUCAAAAGGGAAACAGCCCAGACCUCCAUUUAAGGUCCCUAAAUUUACGUUAAGUGCAUCUUAAGGAUGUGAGAUUUCAUCGACAAUGAGGAUGUUGGCUUAGAAGCAGCCAUCAUUUAAAGAAAGCGUAACAGCUCACUCAUCGAGAGAUUUUGCGCCGCAGAUAAUCGGGGCUAAACGUAAUACCGAAACUGAGGGCUUUCAAUUUCUUCGGAAAUUGGGAGCGGUAGGAGAGCGUUCUUUACCGCGACGAAGGCAAAGGGGUGACCCAUGCUGGAGCGUAAAGAAGUGAGAAUGUUGGCACGAGUAACCGCAAUGAAGGUGAGAGCCCUUCACGCCGAAAGAUCAAGGUUUCCUUCGCAAUGGUGAUCAACGAAGGGUUAGUCGGGCCUAAGGGAAUUACGAAAGUAGGACUCGAUGGACAGAUGGUUAAUAUUCCAUCACCUAAAUACGUUCCGAUGGAGGGACGGAGGACAUAAGUGGGAGCAUCUUAUUGGAUUGGUGUCUCCGGCAAAAGCGAUACAUGCUAGGCAAAUCCGGCAUGUUGUUUUAAUACAAAUCGCGAUGCAAGAGUGAUGUGGUUCUACGGAGCUGCAAAAUUCCAUGAAGAGCCUUUCGAGAAAAACUUCUAAGGUUAAACGUAGUUAGUCCGUACCGCAAACCGACACAGGUGAUCAGGUCGAGUAGACCAAGGCGAACGAGUGAGAGGUCCUCAAGGAACUCGGCAAAAAAGCAGCCGUAACUUCGGGAUAAGGCUUCCCGGCACUAUUUAGUUCUGUUUUACAGAAUUAAUGUGAUGUCAGAAGCAAAGUCAAAGACAAAAUUUUUUUCAUCAUCAUUAAUUAUGUGCAACGAAAGAGAACUAAAUAGUGCCGGGCGCAGCGAAAGUAUUCCUGGCAACUGUUUAUCAAAAACACAGCUCCCUGCGAACUCGUAAGAGGAUGUAUAGGGGGUGACACCUGACCAAUGCCAGAAGGUCAACCAUUGAUGGUUUGCAACAUACCUGAUUUUAAAUUUUCGGAUUUGAAGUCAGAUUGUUGCAAGCUGAGCGAUGUAAGCCCUGGUGAAUGUCGGCCGUAACUAUAACGGUCCUAAGGUAGCGAAAUACCUUGUCGGGUAAGUUCCGACGCGCACGAAUGGUGUAAUGACUGGGAAACUGUCUCGAGGACUCGCUCGGUGAAAAUACAAUACCGGUAAAGAUGCCGGUUAAGUGCAGUUAGACGAAAAGACCCUAGAAGCUUUACUACAGCUUGAUAUUGGGCAUACGGGAAUUAUGCGUAGCAUAGGUGGGAGAGGUUAUGCGUAGGAUUUUGGUUCUACGAUACUCGUCAGUGAAAUACCACUCUUAAUUUCUGUAUGUUCUAACCAAAGUGGUCAAAAUAUUUUGGGACAGUGUCUGGUGGGUAGUUUGUUUGGGGCGAAUCCCUCCUAAAAAGUAACGGAGGGGCCUAAAGGUCAGCUAGUCGUGAAUGGAAACCAUGACGAUAGUGUAUUGGCACAAGCUGGCUUAACUGCAAGACGGCCAUGUCGAGCAGGUGCGAAAGCAGAGCAAAGUGAACCGACUCUUCGCUUUAGACGCGGGAGAAGAUUAACGGAUAGAAGCUACUCUAGGGAUAACAGGCUAGUUCCGCCUAAGAGUUCAUAUCGACGGCGGAGUUCGGCACCUCGAUGUCGGCUCACCUUAUCCUGGGGCUGGAGAAGGUCCCAAAGGUAUGGCUGUUCGCCAUUUAAAAAGGUACGCGAGCUGGGUUCAGACCGUGAAGCAACUUUUUGUUUUAGAUUUAUCUUUAACUUAAGGGGGCUUCACCGUC